rnacentral:rRNA from 1 species
AACGAACGCUGGCGGCAUGCCUAACACAUGCAAGUCGAACGAGACCUUCGGGUCUAGUGGCGCACGGGUGCGUAACGCGUGGGAACCUGCCCUUAGGUUCGGAAUAACUCCCCGAAAGGGGUGCUAAUACCGGAUAAUGUCUUCGGACCAAAGAUUUAUCGCGUUUGGAUGGGCCCGCGUUGGAUUAGCUAGUUGGUAGGGUAAAAGCCUACCAAGGCGACGAUCCAUAGCUGGUCUGAGAGGAUGAUCAGCCACACUGGGACUGAGACACGGCCCAGACUCCUACGGGAGGCAGCAGUGGGGAAUAUUGGACAAUGGGCGAAAGCCUGAUACAGCAAUGCCGCGUGAGUGAUGAAGGCCUUAGGGUUGUAAAGCUCUUUUACCCGGGAUGAUAAUGACAGUACCGGGAGAAUAAGCUCCGGCUAACUCCGUG